GGUUAAGCGACUAAGCGUACACGGUGGAUGCCCUGGCAGUCAGAGGCGAUGAAGGACGUGCUAAUCUGCGAAAAGCGUCGGUAAGGUGAUAUGAACCGUUAUAG
rnacentral:rRNA from 1 species